CCUACGGGUGGCAGCAGUGAGGAAUAUUGGUCAAUGGACGCAAGUCUGAACCAGCCAUGCCGCGUGCAGGAAGACGGCUCUAUGGGUUGUAAACUUCUUUUGUACGAGGGUAAACGCAGAUACGCGUACCUGUCUGAAAGUUACGUACGAAUAAGGCUCGGCUAACUCCGUUCCAGCAGCCGCGGUUAUACGGAGGAUUCCAGCGUUAUCCGGAUUUAUUGGGGUUAAAGGGUGCGUAGGCGGGCGGAUAAGUUAGAGGUGAAAUCCCGAGGUUCAAAUUCGGAAUUGCCUCUGAUACUGUGCGGCUAGAGAGUAGUAGCGGUAGGCGGAAUGUAUGGUGUAGCGGUGAAAUGCUUAGAGAUCAUACAGAACACCGAUUGCGAAGGCAGCUUACCAAGCUACGUCUGACGUUGAGGCACGAAAGCGUGGGGAGCAAACAGGAUUAGAUACCCCAGUAGUC
rnacentral:rRNA from 1 species